rnacentral:rRNA from 1 species
CCCUUAGAUGUUCUGGGCCGCACGCGCGCUACACUGACGAAUGCAACGAGCUUAUAACCUUGGCCGAAAGGUCUGGGUAAUCUCCAAAUUUCGUCGUGAUGGGGAUAGAUUAUUGCAAUUAUUAAUCUUCAACGAGGAAUGCCUAGUAAGCGCAAGUCAUCAGCUUGCGUUGAUUACGUCCCUGCCCUUUGUACACACCGCCCGUCGCUCCUACAGAUUGAGCAGUCCGGUGAAUACUUCGGACCGUUUGCAUAGAUGGUUCGCCAUCUUUGCGAAUGGAAAGUCGAGUGAACCUUACUGCUUAGAUGAAGGAGAAGUCGUAACA